UACCAGCACCCCCGAGUGGUCGGGACGAUUAUUGGGCCUAAAGCAUCCGUAGCCGGUUCUGCAAGUCCCCCGUUAAAUCCAGCUGCUCAACAGAUGGGCCGCGGAGGAUACUACAGAGCUAGGAGGCAGGAGAGGCAAGCGGUACUCAGUGGGUAGGGGUAAAAUCCGUUGAUCCAUUGAAGACCACCAGUGGCGAAGGCGGCUUGCCAGAACGCGCUCGACGGUGAGGGAUGAAAGCUGGGGGGAGCAAACCGG
rnacentral:rRNA from 1 species